AAAGUCGUAACAAGGUUUCCGUAGGUGAACCUGCGGAAGGAUCAUUACAAAAAAAAAGGGAGAGUUUGCCAUUUUUGGCAUUCUCUUCUUUUGCUCGAAGAGGAAAUUUUCUUAUUUGAAAUAUUCCGACUUGAGAAAUCUUUUGUGCACCGUAAACAAAAUUUCGCGUUUAAUAUUCGUCUGAUGUACAUUUUACAGUUUUCGUAAAUUCCCAAUUUUUUUUGGAAAUUUGCAAGAAAAGAAAACAAUAAAAAUAACUUUUAACAACGGAUCUCUUGGCUCUC
rnacentral:misc_RNA from 1 species